GUGAACUUGCGGAAGGAUCAUUAAUAUACAUGCRUGGGGCCUCUAACCUUGCCCCAUGCCGGAGCGCAAGUCCCAGUCGCAGCUCGCGGCACGGCCCCGGACCCCAAUUGGGCUCUUUUGCAAUUACUAUGAUGUGAACAAACACCCCUGGCUGGGGUCACCCCUCCGGGCCUGGCUGCUCAAACCUCACUAGCGAGGGGGUUGUCCGGUCCGCAACCAUGCAGGGCUCCCGUGUCGCGGGUGCAUCCCUCUCUAGGCUGCGUUCAACCAUCCGAGUCGUGCCAUGCACUUUAGCAGUGAUGGGGUCGUCCAGCCCAGAACCCUUGGUUCGCUGUUGCCAGUGACCGGCACCACCCCUCCCUGCCCAGCCCCGCCAACCAUCAGCGAGGGGGUCUCCCAGCCGUGAAAUCAAAGACAAAUAUUGAUAUGAGAGGGGUUCCAUCUAGCCCAGGGUCCGGUAAGACGUCCGCCUCGGCUGGGAUGCUCCGGAUUCCAUCCACCCUCACUGCGUAUCCAUCCACGUUGCUUCCCCGGGGCAGCAGCAAGCMUGCCCUGGCCAUCCCAUGCCCCUCAUCGACAUGUGGACCUGGGAGAUUCCCGGGGAAGGUACCACUCAAAAGCGCACAUGUGCAAAUCUCUGUCUGACAGGCCUCUGGCCUAUAACGCAAUCUUGCAAAAACUUUCAACAACGGAUCUCUUGGUUCUCGCAUCGAUGAAGAACGCAGCGAAUUGCGAUAAGUAAUGUGAAUUGCAGAAUUCAGUGAAUCAUCGAAUCUUUGAACGCACAUUGCGCCCCCUGGCAUUCCGGGGGGCAUGCCUGUUUGAGCGUCUCAUGCAUCAAUGCUCACAAAUGUUGUGGUGAUGGCUGAUGUGGCGGCUGCCCCAGGCAGCUUCACACAGCAGGAAAUCAUGGGCGGAAGUCACCUGCAGUCGGCGCGUAGUAUGUUCUUUCAAAGUCGCACUGAGCGCAGAGUGUGCCACCAGCCAUGGCCCGUCGAGGCUCCAUUAUCAAUCA
rnacentral:rRNA from 1 species